GACGAACGCUGGCGGCGUGCCUAACACAUGCAAGUCGAACGGAAAGUUAGCAAUAACUUUCAGUGGCGAACGGGUGAGUAACGCGUGGGCAACCUGCCCUUCAGACGGGGACAACAUUCCGAAAGGAGUGCUAAUACCGGAUACGACCUUUAGACCGCAUGAUUUAAAGAAGAAAGGUGGCCUCUAUUUAUAAGCUACCGCUGAAGGAUGGGCCUGCGUCUGAUUAGCUAGUUGGUGGGGUAAAGGCCUACCAAGGCGACGAUCAGUAGCCGGUCUGAGAGGAGGAACGGCAACACUGGGACUGAGACACGGCCCAGACUCCUACGGGAGGCAGCAGUGGGGAAUCUUCCGCAAUGGGCGAAAGCCUGACGGAGCAACGCCGCGUGAGUGAAGAAGGUCUUCGGAUUGUAAAGCUCUGUUUAAAGGGACGAAUGGCAGAUUUGUGAAUAAUGAAUUUGCAUGACGGUACCUUUGGAGGAAGCCACGGCUAACUACGUGCCAGCCGCCGCCGUAA
rnacentral:rRNA from 1 species